UCUAAAAUUGUUAAAAUAACAUUAUUUUUAAUUAUAAAAUUAUCAAAUUUAAAUUUUUAAUAAAAUAUAAAAUGAUUGAAAUUAAAAAUUUAUUUUUAUUAAUCAGUUUAUUCGGUUUAGUGAUUUUAUCGAAUUGCCAACAGCAACAUAAUAAAAAGCAAGAUAUAUGGGAAAAAGAUUUGACUGAUUCAUUCAAACUAGAUGGUAGUGAUCAAGGUAUCCAACGUGUUAAUUUGAAAUGCGGAGCUGAAUCAAUGCAUGUAACAUUAGAAACCGAAAAAGAAUUUACUGGUGUUAUGUAUACUCGGGGCAGUUUUUAUAAAAAAGUUGAACCUUGCUUUACAAAACCAAUAACAAGUCGUGGAUCCCGUUCGUUAGAAAUGAAAUUUAAUUUUGAUCAAUGCCAAACAUUGAAGGAUGGCGAUGUAUUUUCAAAUAUCGUUGUAAUACAGAACGACCCUGAACUUAUAACACCUGGGGAUGCUGCAUUUUCAUUGGAAUGUGAUUUUAGACGGCCAAGAAAUUUGCAAGUUCAAUCAGAAUUUCAGGCAAAGGAUAGAACGGUUUAUGGUUCAAGAAUAACUUUUGCUAGUCCAGAUCCAUCAGAAAUUAAAAAUGAAAUGGAUAAAUAUCCUACAGUACACAAUAACACUGACACAGUUACAUAUGUUCCAAACACAAUUACUCAAGAAAAAUCUAGAAUUAAGGUGAUGGGCAGCGUCGAAGAUAUUUCACUUGAAAUAAAAAUUAAAGAGUCAUUAAACGAAGAUAAUGAAAAAAUAAUUGAAAAGGACGUUAAAGAUGAAUUAUAAAAAUUUUGAAUACUUUUACAUAUUUUCAAAAUUUAAUGUAGUAUUUUAUUAUAAUCAGUAUGUACUAAUCAUAGAAAGAUGAACUGAGGUGAGGCCAACACUAUAAAAAAAAGAAAAACCAUAUUGUUUUUGGAAAAUUGGAUCAAAAUUUUUUAAUAUGCGAAUAUUUAUAAUUAAAAUUUUUACCGUUGAAGACCGCAAAUAAAUCAGAAUCUAGUGUAAACACAACAUCAACAACGGAAGACAAUUAAAAAGGAAAUACUUAAGUUUUAAACUAUGUUAAAAAAUGACCUAAAAUUUAUGAUUAAAGAUAAUAUUUUUUUACGAUUCAAAAUUUAGUGCCUUGUAUAAGCUUCAACAAUAUAUAAAUUUUCAUAGUGAAAUUAUAUGAUGGUCGACUAAGCUAAUUUAAAGUUUCGAAACAAUUAAAUUUUUUUUUGGCAUAUUUAAGUUUUUUUUUUCAUGAAAAAGCCUAGAUUUUGCUUCAGAUUCAAUUUUGCCUUCUUUUUAAUGAACAGAUUGAAAAAAUUAUGUACUUAAUAGUUUUAAUACCGAUAAUUAAAAAUUUAAAAAUUUACGAAAGGCUUAACAAUUCACUUAAUUUUACAAUAUUUUAUGUUAACGUUAAUGAAACCAAAAUUUAUUUCAUAAA